AUGACAGUGUUCCUGGGGAUCAGCUUGGUCAUGACUCCUCCAACAGUCUCGAUACCGAGGGUGAGGGGCGCCACAUCGAGGAGGAGGAUCCUUGGUCUCGUCACCGCCCUCGCCGCUCAAGAUGCUUCCCUGCACUGCAGCUCCGAAGGCAACAGCCUCAUCAGGGUUCACACCCUUGUUUGGCUCCUUGCCGUCAAAGUAGUCCCUGAGGAGCUGCUGGACCUUGGGAAUCCUGGUGCUGCCUCCAACAAGAACAAUCUCGUGGAUCUGGGUCUUCUCGAGGCCAGCAUCAUCCAUGGCCUUCUUCACGGGUCCCAUGGUCUUGCGGAACAAAUCGUUGUUCAGCUCCUCGAACCUGGCACGGGUCAGUGGCUCCGAGAAAUCAGUCCCGUCAAAGAGGGACUCGAUCUCAACGCGGACCUGGUGCUGGUUGCUGAGGGCUCUCUUGGCACGCUCAGCUUCCCUCCUCAGCUUUCCAAGAGCACGGUUGUCCUUGCUGAUGUCCUUGCCAUGCUUCUUCUUGAUCAACUUGAUGAAGUAAUCCAUGAUUCUGUGGUCAAAAGAUGUUACCUCCAAGAUGGGUGUCACCGUUGGUGGCCAGCACCUCAAAGACACCAUUGUCAAUGGUCAAGAUACUGA
rnacentral:rRNA from 1 species